GCUCAAGAAACUUAAAGGAAUUGACGGGGCCCGCACAAGCGGUGGAGUAUGUGGUUUAAUUCGAUGCAACGCGAAGAACCUUACCUGGUCUUGACAUCCCGGAGACCCUUAGGAAACUAGGGGGUGCUUCCAUCUGGAAGAAUCUGGAGACAGGUGCUGCAUGGCUGUCGUCAGCUCGUGUCGUGAGAUGUUGGGUUGAGUCCCGCAACGAGCGCAACCCUUGCCUUUAGUUGCCAGCAGUUCGGCUGGGCACUCUAAAGGGACUGCCGGUGUUAAACCGGAGGAAGGUGGGGAUGACGUCAAGUCCUCAUGGCCUUUAUGACCAGGGCUACACACGUACUACAAUGGCCGAUGCAAAGGGCAGCGACACUGCGAGGUGAAGCCAAUCCCGUAAAAUCGGUCUCAGUCCGGAUUGGAGUCUGCAACUCGACUCCAUGAAGUUGGAAUCGCUAGUAAUCGUGGAUCAGCAUGCCACGGUGAAUACGUUCCCGGGCCUU
rnacentral:rRNA from 1 species